AGAGAUAACAUUUCUCAGCUGGAGGUGGCUAGCUCAGCUGGCCCUUGCUUGGUGGCAGUCACAGGAAGCCCUGCGGUGAAGGCGAGUUCAAAAGGCUUCUGGAGCAGGCUACUGACCACAAGCCCAGGAGGUGUUCGUGUCCUGUGUGAGUGAGGUCACCCUGCCACUUCCCCCUUGGACAAGAUGACAAGGCAUGGCAAGAACUGCACUGCAGGGGCUGUCUACACCUACCACGAAAAGAAGAAGGACACAGCGGCCUCAGGCUAUGGGACCCAGAACAUUCGACUGAGCCGGGAUGCUGUGAAGGACUUUGACUGCUGCUGUCUCUCUCUGCAGCCCUGCCAUGACCCUGUGGUCACGUAAGCUGGUUUGUGUGGGUUUAGCAGACCUCUCAGAGCCUCAGAGCCCUCACCAGAGAUAGGCAGCUCUCCUCCACCACAGGUGGAGAGAACGAGCAAGCGAGCGAGUGACCGAGUGAGCGAGUACACUGCAAGUAGCUGGGGCUGACUCAGAGGGUGGGGUGCUUUUUAGCACGAAGGAAGCUCUGGGUCCAUCCCCAGCACCACAGAAAGCAGGGUGUGAUGCACACCUGUUAUCCCAGUGCUCAGGCAAUGCAGACAGGAAGACAGGUUCAAGGCCAGCCCCAGCUACAUGGUGGUCUGAAGUUAACCUGAGCUUCCGGACAUCAUGUCUCU
rnacentral:lncRNA from 1 species